AGUUUGAUCCUGGCUCAGGAUGAACGCUGGCGGUGCGCCUAAUGCAUGCAAGUCGAACGACGCAUAUUGGAGGGGUAACCCAUCGAUAUGACGGAGUGGCGAACGGGUGAGGAACACGUGAGUAAUCUGCCCCACAGACCGGGAUAGCCCAGGGAAACCUGGAUUAAUACCGGAUGACCUCGUAGGACCACAUGGUCUCUCGAGGAAGUGCCUUUGUGCUGUGGGAUGAGCUCGCGGCUUAUCAGCUAGUUGGUGGGGUAACGGCCUACCAAGGCAUUGACGAGUAGCUGGUCUGAGAGGACGAUCAGCCACACUGGAACUGAGACACGGUCCAGACUCCUACGGGAGGCAGCAGCAGGGAAUCUUGCGCAAUGGACGAAAGUCUGACGCAGCGACACCGCGUGGGGGAUGAAGGCCUUCGGGUUGUAAACCCCUUUCAGGGGGGAAGAAAUUGACGGUACCUCCAAAAGAAGCACCGGCCAACUACGUGCCAGCAGCCGCGGUAAUACGUAGGGUGCGAGCGUUAUCCGGAAUCAUUGGGCGUAAAGAGCUCGUAGGCGGUUCAGCAAGUCGGCUGUGAAAGUUCGAGGCUCAACCUCGAAAUUGCAGUCGAUACUGCUGUGACUCGAGUCCGGUAGAGGAGAAUGGAAUUCUCGGUGUAGCGGUGAAAUGCGCAGAUAUCGAGAGGAACACCAGUAG
rnacentral:rRNA from 1 species